rnacentral:rRNA from 1 species
CUGAGAGGGUUGAACGGCCACAUUGGGAACUGAGAACGUCCGCGAACUCCUACGGGAGGCAGCAG